rnacentral:rRNA from 1 species
UACAGAGGGGGGCAAGCGUCGUUCGGAAUUACUGGGCGUAAAGGGCGCGUAGGCGGCCUGCUAAGUCGAACGUGAAAUACCCUCGGGCUCAACCCCCUGGACUGCCAUCCGAUACUGUCAGGCUAGAGGUAGGUAGGGGAGAUCGGAAUUCCUGGUGUAGCGGUGAAAUGCGCAGGAUAAUCAGGAGGAACACCGGUGGCGAAAGGGCGGGAAUC